CAUUUGUUCUCUAAAUAAGGACUUGUAUGAACGGCCACACGAGGGUUUUACUGUCUCUUACUUCCAAUCAGUGAAAUUGACCUCCCCGUGAAGAGGCGGGGAUAAACCAACAAGACGAGAAGACCCUAUGGAGCUUUAACUAACUAGCCCAAAGAAAAUAGACUUAAUCACCAAGAGAUAACAAUACUCUUUAUGGACUAGCAGUUUCGGUUGGGGUGACCUCGGAGAACAAAAAAUCCUCCGAGCGAUUUUAAAGACUAGACUUACAAGUCAAAUCAAUCCAUCGCUUAUUGAUCCAAAAAACUUGAUCAACGGAACAAGUUACCCUAGGGAUAACAGCGCA
rnacentral:rRNA from 1 species